UUGAACUGUCACAAACAUGUAGUUGUAGGUUAUAGCAUUCUUCUAGAGAAAAGUAUUUCUUCAAUAUUUUUAAAGUAUAGAGUUGUUAUUUUGGUGUAUUUUAGUUAGUUUAGAUGGUAUUGGACACUUUUAGGUUUUAUUAGUACAGAUUGACUUUUUUCCAUUGUCUUUAUUACCGCCACCGGUUAAUAUACAGUUUGGCAUAUCAAGUAUAACAUGACUUUGUCUACAAGCUUAUUCAGUUAUUGGUGUGUCUGUUGUAUUUUCCACAAAGCUACUCAAGAGCUAUCUGCAACAGCCAUAAUUUAGAAAUGAUAUACAGAAUGAAAGGUAGCUAGUGAACACAACCUAACUAACUCUUGGGCUACUCUUUACCCAGGAAAAUUGGAGUGGAUCAUCACAUUGUAACUCCUCCAUAGAUGAAAGGAUGAGCAUGUUUGGAACUUUUAAUGGAAAAGAUACAAGACCUAUUAAAGUUGUCUCAAAAUUACACAUUAAAAAUUGUUUUGACCACUCAGUAAACACUUUCAAGUUAUUUUAACUAUAAAAUAACUUUUCUUGGCAUUAAUUGAUAGGAUUGUUAGGGUAACAAUGAGGUUGGAAAAAGGAGACUCUGGGCAUAUCUGGAAGAUCAAUAAAAUAAUUCUAUGGUGUCCUAAUUGAGUGCAUCCUACAAAAUUACUGUACCAUUGAAUUAAAAGCAUUAUAGAAAAAUAAAUUUGUAAUUGUUCUUCCACACAUUAGAAAAAGAAUAUUUAA